AAGCUCCUUGGGGUAAGGACUUUGUCAUUAAUUUAGCACAGCUGAAUAUAUUACAUGGUGCCAUGUGUAUUUAUAGAAGUUUGCUAAGUAAUGAUGAUUCAGAUUUGGUAAUCAGCACUUGCGAUGAUCAUACGGUUAUGCAGAUCAACACUUACUAUGCAGAAAUCAUUUCCUAUCGGGGCAGAUGUGCUGGUCUCUCCCUUAGUAAAUUUUGAGAUCAGUAAAUUUCUUGCAGCAUGUAAGUCAAUUUAGAUUUAUGCCUUUGAUUGUCUUCCUGUUGCCUAAGGGAACCAAGAGAGCAGUACCUUUCCACGAGGCUAAGCUGCCUGAAAGUGAUCAGCAAACAACAACUUGUCAAGUCUAUAAACUUAGAUUCAACGCUCACAUCAGAAUGCCAUGUUAUGGAAAGAGGAUUUUCUUCACUGUUGAAGAACUCACCCCCUUUCACUCUUGACCUCUCCAUUCCUGCUGCAUACCUUCUUCCUUCCUGUCUCUUCCUAUACCUUCCCUUCUACCCUCUUCAGUUUCUCAACAUUAUCACUCAAUCUUUCUCCUUUUGCUUUCUUCGUUCAAUGCAUACAAAUCAUAACUCUAUUCAAAAAUGUCUUCUUAGAUGCCCUUCUCUCACA